CCUACGGGGGGCUGCAGUGAGGAAUAUUGGUCAAUGGCCGUAAGGCUGAACCAGCCAAGUAGCGUGAGGGAAGACUGCCCUAUGGGUUGUAAACCUCUUUUAUGCGGGGAUAAAGGUUUCCACGUGUGGAUGUUUGCAGGUACCUCAUGAAUAAGGACCGGCUAAUUCCGUGCCAGCAGCCGCGGUAAUACGGAAGGUCCGGGCGUUAUCCGGAUUUAUUGGGUUUAAAGGGAGCGUAGGCCGGUCUUUAAGCGGGCCGUGAAAUUUUGUGGCACAACCAUGAGAGUGAGUCGCGAACUGGAGACCGAGAGUGCGCGGAAGGCAGGCAGAAUUCGUGGUGGAGCGGUGAAAUGCUUAGAGAUCACGAAGAACCCCGAUUGCGAAGGCAGCCUGCCGCAGCGUUACUGACGCUGAAGCUCGAAAGCGCGGGUAUCGAACAGGAUUAGAUACCCUUGUAGUC
rnacentral:rRNA from 1 species